UUUACAACAGCUUCGAACGCAGCUCAACCAAUCAGAAUCAAGGACUGGAAUGAUCCAUUUUAUAAUUUUAUAUUUAACAUAUUUAUUAGUUUACAAAUCAUGCCCUGUGAUAAUAGCAUUCUGAGAUUGUAGUAUAGCAGUAGUAUUACACCACGAACCGCACAGAAAUAAUCUGUAUUAAUGUGCCCCUGUUAUCAUAAUGUGUGUGAAAAGGAAUCAAACUGGCUGAUCUUUUAAUGCCCUCUAGUGUUAAUUUUGUAGGAAUAGGUACAUUUUAGAAGUUUGGAGUACAACUGUAGGUAGAGGCAUGUUUUUUUAUGUUGUUUGAUCUUCAUAUGAUACUCCAAAGCCACUGGGGUUACGCAAAGUUCCAUGGGUGCCAUGUCAGUGCUGCUGCCUUUUUUGUGGAAAAUCAGGAAUGGUAAUGUGUGUGUGUGUGUGUGUGUGUGUGUGUGUGUGUGUGUGUGUGUGUGUGUGUGUGUGUCGAGGUCUUUUCUCUGGCCUGUCAGUCUCGGUGUAUAGCGUGAGCUGUCACUGUCAGCCGCUAAUGGCGGAACUACUGUGACGACUUCCUAUUACCGCUGUGGCCCUGUCAAUAGCGCGGCCAUCACUCCAGUGCCACAUGUCAACGUAACAAGCUCAUGCAUGUCAGAAUAAUGUUGGGACUCGGUGAGCGCGUUUUGAAGAGCUGCCUUUCACUCUCAUGUCAUUUUAUCUGCCUGUCUGAGUCGUGCAGGAACGGAAAUCACACAGAAGCUUACGGGCUGUUGCUUCUGAUCUGUUGCCUUUGCCACAGUGUGUUUCUGCUUUGCUAGCCUCAGAUAACAUUAAUGAACAUAUCUCUCUCUCUCUCUCUCUCUGGAUAUCUGGCUUUUUAUUUCCCCUUUUCUUGCCCCGACGUGCUCCGAGCACCUCUAAACUCAUUCCCUUCUCCCUUAAUGAGACAACAACACUUCCUCACUCGAGGGGCACAACCUGGGAAUAACAUCACCAACCUAUAAGCAUUGAGUCCACAGUGCUCCCUGUGGUUUAACAUGUCAGGCCGUGAAUAACGCAUCCUAUGCUGAGUGUCCACCCGCAAACCCUCGUCUAGCCCUGGGACCCCCUUCGCCCAGUAGCAGUACACAUUUAAUUGCUUGCGUUUAUUUGUGGAUUCCUAAUUAUUGACUAGAGGUAAAUUAUAACACCACAGCCUUUAUGAAGAGAUGGAAAUGACUGUUAGAGCUAAUGAACUGAGCCACGCUGCCUCUAGUCAUUUAUCAAGCACAUUCAUCUCGGCCUGACAGAAGUCACGGCCCCCCUCCGUCCUCGUAUUAUUUCAUGACCGGCAGAAUUUGGAUUGAAAUGCUGUAAUAUUCCUGCUCUGUUAAGCUUGUGCUGAGGAAAGCUUUUCCAUGUUCUGACAUAUAUAUAUAUAUAUAUGUAUGUGUGUGGUGAUUAAUUUUUAGGGGCCAGAAUAUAUGCUGAAGGAAAGUGGCACUAUGUAAACGUAAUUGAAGCGCCGCGGUGAUUAAAGCAGUGGCUGGAAUCCCACAGUAAUCUGUGCCAGCUUCUCUGUUUUGCUUUUAAUAUCAGAGCCGAUGCGGAACUCAUCAGCUUAUUCAUAUUUUUCCUCUUCCACAGAUUUUCAAGCCGCUGCCAUUGAAAGGUUUUUUUGAUCCUUUAAUUUGUUCAUAAUUUAGAAAACAUGCAAAUCAACACGUGAUGAC
ensembl:lncRNA